GGGGACGUCUGGUUCGACAGGGACAAGUUCUUUAAAACUGCAAGCCGGCCAUGAUCCAAGCCGUAAAACGAGAUCAAAAAUUAAUUGCUAACAAACCGUUAGCUCUUGCUUACGCUAAUUAAAACUUAGUUGUGAGCCGUCCAUACAUUCUCUCUCCUGAUAGGGAAUUGUGGGUGUAAACUUAGUCAGGAUGCAACCCAUUUGGUUUGAUCCACCGGAAUAGGCCAAGUUUAAAGGAUCUAACUUAAGAUUUCCUGCCAAUUGGAACAGUCUUAAGAAAAAUAAAAAUUGGCUAAGCUUGUAGAGAUUUUAAGGAAUUUUCCUUGGACCCCGCCUCACUAGCGGGCGUCUCCACAA
rnacentral:tmRNA from 1 species